rnacentral:piRNA from 1 species
UCCUGUCUGAAUGGAUUGUUUUUAUUG